CCGGCCGGGGAGUCAGCGGUGUCCUGUAACCUGCAAUCCGCUACAGCAGGGGUGGUUUCCCGAUAAAGGUCCGCAUUUUGUAUGGUACUGCGCCGCAAGCUUGUCAUGUUGAAGGAUGGGCCUUGCGCAAUUGACAGCCGUGAACCAUGUCAGGCGGGGAACCGAGCAGCAUUAAUCGGUGUCGUCAAUGUGUUGCAAGAUUACCUGUCCGGAGUGACGGCUGCGGCUUCCUCAUACAGAUUCGGUUCGAUUUAGGGU
rnacentral:SRP_RNA from 1 species